GGCGGCGUGGCCGAGUGGUUUAAGGCGCUAGAUUUGAAAUUUGGAGGUCACUGGUUCAAAUCCUCUACCCUGCUA
rnacentral:tRNA from 1 species